rnacentral:rRNA from 2 species
GCAAGUCGAACGAACUCUGGUAUUGAUUGGUGCUUGCAUCAUGAUUUACAUUUGAGUGAGUGGCGAACUGGUGAGUAACACGUGGGAAACCUGCCCAGAAGCGGGGGAUAACACCUGGAAACAGAUGCUAAUACCGCAUAACAACUUGGACCGCAUGGUCCGAGUUUGAAAGAUGGCUUCGGCUAUCACUUUUGGAUGGUCCCGCGGCGUAUUAGCUAGAUGGUGAGGUAACGGCUCACCAUGGCAAUGAUACGUAGCCGACCUGAGAGGGUAAUCGGCCACAUUGGGACUGAGACACGGCCCAAACUCCUACGGGAGGCAGCAGUAGGGAAUCUUCCACAAUGGACGAAAGUCUGAUGGAGCAACGCCGCGUGAGUGAAGAAGGGUUUCGGCUCGUAAAACUCUGUUGUUAAAGAAGAACAUAUCUGAGAGUAACUGUUCAGGUAUUGACGGUAUUUAACCAGAAAGCCACGGCUAACUACGUGCCAGCAGCCGCGGUAAUACGUAGGUGGCAAGCGUUGUCCGGAUUUAUUGGGCGUAAAGCGAGCGCAGGCGGUUUUUUAAGUCUGAUGUGAAAGCCUUCGGCUCAACCGAAGAAGUGCAUCGGAAACUGGGAAACUUGAGUGCAGAAGAGGACAGUGGAACUCCAUGUGUAGCGGUGAAAUGCGUAGAUAUAUGGAAGAACACCAGUGGCGAAGGCGGCUGUCUGGUCUGUAACUGACGCUGAGGCUCGAAAGUAUGGGUAGCAAACAGGAUUAGAUACCCUGGUAGUCCAUACCGUAAACGAUGAAUGCUAAGUGUUGGAGGGUUUCCGCCCUUCAGUGCUGCAGCUAACGCAUUAAGCAUUCCGCCUGGGGAGUACGGCCGCAAGGCUGAAACUCAAAGGAAUUGACGGGGGCCCGCACAAGCGGUGGAGCAUGUGGUUUAAUUCGAAGCUACGCGAAGAACCUUACCAGGUCUUGACAUACUAUGCAAAUCUAAGAGAUUAGACGUUCCCUUCGGGGACAUGGAUACA